rnacentral:rRNA from 1 species
AUUGAACGCUGGCGGAAUGCUUUACACAUGCAAGUCGAGCGGCAGCGCGGGGCAACCUGGCGGCGAGCGGCGAACGGGUGAGUAAUGCAUCGGAACAUGUCCAUGUCGUGGGGGAUAGCCCGGCGAAAGCCGGAUUAAUACCGCAUACGCCCGCGAGGGGAAAGCAGGGGACCGCAAGGCCUUGCGCGAUUGGGUUGGCCGAUGUCCGAUUAGCUAGUUGGCGGGGUAAAGGCCCACCAAGGCGAUGAUCGGUAGCUGGUCUGAGAGGAUGAUCAGCCACACUGGGACUGAGACACGGCCCAGACUCCUACGGGAGGCAGCAGUGGGGAAUUUUGGACAAUGGGGGAAACCCUGAUCCAGCCAUUCCGCGUGAGUGAAGAAGGCCUUCGGGUUGUAAAGCUCUUUUGUCCGGAACGAAACGGUUGGCGUGAAUAUCGCCGACUACUGACGGUACCGGAAGAAUAAGCACCGGCUAACUACGUGCCAGCAGCCGCUGUAAGAC